GCUCUCUGUGGUAUAACAUAUUCCAAAAUUAGAAUAAUGCAGGGAAGAAUAGGAUGACCUAAGUGCAAGGAUGAUACACCUUUUUAAGAAUGUAUACAUAUUAUG
rnacentral:snRNA from 1 species